GCUGGGGCUGCGCCGCUGUGACCGAGCUUCUGCCGCUCGAAACCCGCCGCCACUGCCACUAGAAAUCGCCACCGAGGCCUAAGUCAGUUUGGACCAUCAGAGCUUCCGGCCGUUAUUAGAGCUGUUGUCCGGUCAAUUUUGAAGCUGCUACUGUGUCGUUCUAUUCUAUUUAUCAUGAUAUGUGGUUGUUGUUGUGAUCCCUGCGGUUGAUUGGGAAUUUCUGCGGUUGCUGCCGAUUAACAUGAGAAUAAGGAUUUAAUGGGUUUAAUUAUGCAACUUGCGACUAAUUGAGCUUUACCCUUUUCAGGAACCAAAUGAAGAGGCAUUAAGGAGAGUUAUACUGCGUUUGGUUUAUAUGUUGUUGUAUUAAUUAGAUUAUUUUCUUCCCUCGUCUUUGUUAUUACGAAUUUGUAAGAGGG